GCGGUUAGCUCAAUUGGAAGAGCAUUCGGUUUACACCCGAAAGGUCGUAGGUUCGAGCCCUGCACCGCCCA
rnacentral:tRNA from 1 species